GAUGAAGAACGCAGCGAAAUGCGAUACUUGGUGUGAAUUGCAGAAUCCCGUGAACCAUCGAGUUUUUGAACGCAAGUUGCGCCCGAAGCCACUAGGCCGAGGGCACGCCUGCCUGGGCGUCACACGCCGUUGCCCCCCCAUCUACUCCUUCGGGAUUGCGGGGGGGCGGAUGAUGGCCUCCCGUGCGCCUAGCCGCGCGGUUGGCAUAAAUACCAAGUCCUCGGCGACGCACGCCACGACAAUCGGUGGUUGCGAAACCUCGGUUGCCCGUCGUGUGCGUUCGUCGCGCAUCGAGGGCUCGAAAAAAUGCUCGGCUCCGGCUGGGCUUUCAACGCGACCCCAGGUCAGGCGGGGUUACCCGCUGAAUUUAAGCAUAUCAAUAAGCGGAGGA
rnacentral:misc_RNA from 1 species